rnacentral:rRNA from 1 species
AUUGAACGCUGGCGGCAUGCUUUACACAUGCAAGUCGAACGGUAACAGGCCGCAAGGUGCUGACGAGUGGCGAACGGGUGAGUAAUGCAUCGGAACGUGCCCAGUCGUGGGGGAUAACUACUCGAAAGAGUAGCUAAUACCGCAUACGAUCUAUGGAUGAAAGCGGGGGACCGUAAGGCCUCGCGCGAUUGGAGCGGCCGAUGUCAGAUUAGGUAGUUGGUGGGGUAAAGGCUCACCAAGCCAACGAUCUGUAGCUGGUCUGAGAGGACGACCAGCCACACUGGGACAGAGACACGGGCCAGACUCCCAAGGGGGGCAGCAGGGGGGAAUUUUGGAAAAAGGGCGGAAGCCUGAUCCAGACAAGCCGGGGGGGGGAAAAAGGCCUUUGGGUUGUAAAGCUUUUUUUUUAGGAAAGAAAACGGCUAGGGUAAAACCCCGGGGGUAUGACGGGAACCGAAAAAAAAGCCCCGGGCAAAUUAGGG